rnacentral:rRNA from 1 species
GAUGAACGCUAGCGAUAGGCUUAACACAUGCAAGUCGAGGGGCAGCAUGGUCUUAGCUUGCUAAGACUGAUGGCGACCGGCGCACGGGUGCGUAACGCGUAUGCAACUUGCCUCACAGAGGGGGAUAACCCGUCGAAAGACGGACUAAUACCGCGUACACUUGGGAUAGGGCAUCCUGACCCAAGGAAAUGAAAUUCGCUGUGAGAUAGGCAUGCGUCCCAUUAGCUAGUUGGUGAGGUAACGGCUCACCAAGGCGACGAUGGGUAGGGGAACUGAGAGGGUGACCCCCCACACUGGUACUGAGACACGGACCAGACUCCUACGGGAGGCAGCAGUGAGGAAUAUUGGUCAAUGGGCGAGAGCCUGAACCAGCCAAGUCGCGUGAAGGAUGACUGUCUUAUGGAUUGUAAACUUCUUUUAUACGGGAAUAACAAGAGUCACGUGUGGCUCCCUGCAUGUACCGUAUGAAUAAGCAUCGGCUAACUCCGUG